rnacentral:rRNA from 1 species
GACGAACGCUGGCGGCGUGCUUAACACAUGCAAGUCGAACGGAAAGGCCCUGCUUUUGUGGGGUGCUCGAGUGGCGAACGGGUGAGUAACACGUGAGUAACCUGCCCUUGACUUUGGGAUAACUUCAGGAAACUGGGGCUAAUACCGGAUAGGAGCUCCUGCUGCAUGGUGGGGGUUGGAAAGUUUCGGCGGUUGGGGAUGGACUCGCGGCUUAUCAGCUUGUUGGUGGGGUAGUGGCUUACCAAGGCUUUGACGGGUAGCCGGCCUGAGAGGGUGACCGACCACAUUGGGACUGAGAUACGGCCCAGACUCCUACGGGAGGCAGCAGUGGGGAAUAUUGCACAAUGGGCGGAAGCCUGAUGCAGCAACGCCGCGUGCGGGAUGACGGCCUUCGGGUUGUAAACCGCUUUCGCCUGUGACGAAGCGUGAGCGACGGUAAUGGGUAAAGAAGCACCGGCUAACUACGUG